GUGAGUGUAGGGAUGGAUAGAUGGGUAAAUGCAUGAAUGUUUGUUGUAAUAAAACAGUUUAUCAUCAGCGUCAUACAACAUCAGAUAGUGAGACUACAACAAAUUACACAGAUCCAAUGCAGUGGGGGCUAGAGCUAUGAUCAUUAUCGUCUGUGAAUAUCGGCUUUGUUCGUCUGUCGGUCGCAUGGAUAAAUUUAUUCGUAUGUGGAUCGCCAUCAACUCGUACUCGUGUUUACUUCUCAAGUAAGUAUAUGUCUGUGUAGUAGUGAGUGCUUGCUUGGACAUACUACAUAACAAACUGAAUAAUUGGGGAGCAAAGAAUUUACUUUCGAGAGGGCUUUUAUUUAUGGUGACGAUGAUGAUGAUGAUGAUAAUGAUAAUGCUGAUGAUGUUGAUGAUGCUGCUGUGGUGUCUAAGUAACAUUUAAACAUCAUUAAAUGUGUCUGAACACACAUCGUAAAUAUUAUCAUUAAAAACGCGCAGCAAACGAUUGUAGCUACUCCCCUCUCUGCCCAGUAGAAGACAGUCAGAAAAUGAUAGGUUCAAGUGAUGGCAGCAAAGUGGUAUUGAAAUCAAAAUAAUUUAUAUUUAUGAAAUGUAGAGAAAGAUAUCAAAAACUAA
rnacentral:sRNA from 1 species